UUUGGAUUUUUUUUUUUUAUUUCUUUUUAGUUUGAUGAGGUAGUGCUUUUGUUCGGGUGUCAUGUAUUUUGAUUAGGUUUAGAUUUGUUUGAAAUACCCGUGCGUAUGUAAUCUUGGACAAUGUUGGGUUUUUUUAAUAAUAUUGAUUUAGCUUAGUAAAAAGAAACAACAAAUGUAUAUGGUCUAUGGAGACAAAUAAAGAAGAAAUAAUUCAUAGUGUCGAGAAUGAAGAUAACUCUAUUGAACUGUAACAUCCC
rnacentral:lncRNA from 1 species